CAGCAGUAGGGAAUCUUCCGCAAUGGACGAAAGUCUGACGGAGCAACGCCGCGUGAGUGAUGAAGGCUUUCGGGUCGUAAAACUCUGUUGUUAGGGAAGAACAAGUGCUAGUUGAAUAAGCUGGCACCUUGACGGUACCUAACCAGAAAGCCACGGCUAACUACGUGCCAGCAGCCGCGGUAAUACGUAGGUGGCAAGCGUUAUCCGGAAUUAUUGGGCGUAAAGCGCGCGCAGGUGGUUUCUUAAGUCUGAUGUGAAAGCCCACGGCUCAACCGUGGAGGGUCAUUGGAAACUGGGAGACUUGAGUGCAGAAGAGGAAAGUGGAAUUCCAUGUGUAGCGGUGAAAUGCGUAGAGAUAUGGAGGAACACCAGUGGCGAAGGCGACUUUCUGGUCUGUAACUGACACUGAGGCGCGAAAGCGUGGGGAGCAAACAGGAUUAGAUACCCUGGUAGUCCACGCCGUAAACGAUGAGUGCUAAGUGUUAGAGGGUUUCCGCCCUUUAGUGCUGAAGUUAACGCAUUAAGCACUCCGCCUGGGGAGUAC
rnacentral:rRNA from 1 species